GUGUCAGCCGCCGCGGUAAUACGGAGGGUGCAAGCGUUGCUCGGAAUUACUGGGCGUAAAGGGCGUGUAGGCGGUUUCGUAUGUCUGGCGUGAAAGCCCCGGGCUCACCUCGGGAAGUGCGUCGGAAACUGCGAGACUAGAGUCCCGGAGAGGGAGGUGGAAUUCCAGGUGUAGCGGUGAAAUGCGUAGAUAUCUGGAAGAACACCGGUGGCGAAAGCGGCCUCCUGGACGGUGACUGACGCUGAGACGCGAAAGCGUGGGGAGCAAACAGGAUUAGAUACCCUGGUAGUCCACGCCAUAAACGAUGAGCACUAGGUGUCGCGGGUAUUGACCCCUGCGGUGCCGCCGCUAACGCAUUAAGUGCUCCGCCUGGGGACUACGGCCGCAAGGUUAAA
rnacentral:rRNA from 1 species